AGAGUUUGAUCAUGGCUCAGAUUGAACGCUGGCGGCAUGCCUUACACAUGCAAGUCGAACGGUAACAGGUUAAGCUGACGAGUGGCGAACGGGUGAGUAAUGUAUCGGAACGUGCCCAGUCGUGGGGGAUAACUGCUCGAAAGAGCAGCUAAUACCGCAUGAGACCUGAGGGUGAAAGCGGGGGACUCGCAAGAGCCUCGCGCGAUUGGAGCGGCCGAUAUCAGAUUAGGUUGUUGGUGAGGUAAAAGCUCACCAAGCCGACGAUCUGUAGCUGGUCUGAGAGGACGACCAGCCACACUGGGACUGAGACACGGCCCAGACUCCUACGGGAGGCAGCAGUGGGGAAUUUUGGACAAUGGGCGCAAGCCUGAUCCAGCCAUGCCGCGUGCAGGAUGAAGGCCUUCGGGUUGUAAACUGCUUUUGUACGGAACGAAAAGUCUCCUUCUAAUAAAGGGGGAUCAUGACGGUACCGUAAGAAUAAGCACCGGCUAACUACGUGCCAGCAGCCGCGGUAAUACGUAGGGUGCAAGCGUUAAUCGGAAUUACUGGGCGUAAAGCGUGCGCAGGCGGUUAUGUAAGACAGUUGUGAAAUCCCCGGGCUCAACCUGGGAACUGCAUCUGUGACUGCAUAGCUAGAGUACGGUAGAGGGGGAUGGAAUUCCGCGUGUAGCAGUGAAAUGCGUAGAUAUGCGGAGGAACACCGAUGGCGAAGGCAAUCCCCUGGACCUGUACUGACGCUCAUGCACGAAAGCGUGGGGAGCAAACAGGAUUAGAUACCCUAGUAGUCC
rnacentral:rRNA from 1 species